rnacentral:lncRNA from 1 species
CAAAAAAGCGACAGAGAAAAAUCGAGCGAGAAGAGCUAUCGGAUGGUUAGAUGGUCCUUUGAACUGGUCGGUUGGAUUUGAAAAAUAACGGUUUUGGCAUCACCACGCGCAAGGAGCCUGAUCAAUGAAUUACGCAAUAUGGAACGAUACAUAUUGAGGUGAUUUUUUUUCUUGCAAAUACGAUCGCAAGCUUAUUACUUAUCGUUUGAGCAGGAUGUGUACGACAUGCAAGUUUAAUCAAAUAUAUAUAUAUAUAUAGAUAUUGUUCUACUCCAAGCAUAAUUACGAUAUCGCGAUAUAUUAUAAAUUAUCGUGACGCCUAAUAAUAUAGGCUGAGGAAAGGUCGAGACAGGUAUCGAAUAAAAUGUCCUGCCCAACAAAAAGAAUUGCAAACGCUGAGUGAGUAUUUGCUGCAGUCGAUGUAGCUGCUUGUUAACAUAAGAUCAAUUCUUAAUGAAGAUUCAACUGGAUAUUUUUAACAUCUUGUAACGUUUGCACUGAAUAGAUACAAAUUGUGAUAGUAAUAUUAUGUUGGAUCAGAUAUUAACUAUCUACUAUCAGAUAUUAAUUAGUUCUUAUAUGUUAUAUGUAGGUAAGCGACAGAAAACGACUGAAGUGUGCUAAAUAACGGAUGUCGCCUGACAGACUGUGCAAGCUAGACAGCAGGCAAACAGCAUGGAAGCCCUAAUUGUGUUUUUCUUCAGUGGGCGGUCAUUACGGAGAUAUUUGAAAAUAUAUACCGCAGUGGAUGCGGCCAUUGGAAACGGAAAAUAUCGAUGGGAUUUAGCGAUCCUACAUGCAGACGUAAUCUAGACCCAAUUUGGGUAUAAUCUACGGCUGCUAGUGGCACGUGCUGGUUCAUAUGAUUAUUACGUGAUUAGGAUAAUUUCGCUUAAUACCAUGAACCUGCCAACACCCAAGGAAAUGCUAAAUUAUCGUAAGAAGUAUCGAGAAAAACCAGCUGCUAGCGGAUCUCGCUCUUUUAGGUUCUGCUUGCGUACACAGUCACCGCACAGUAUAAACCGUGGAGCAAAAUUUGGAACAAGACUAGUUAACACUUAUCAGGUCGAGACAAUACUACAGCCGCCGUUGUUCCUGUCACAAGAGCGUUGCAACGCCGGUGUUUGCAACGGGGCUGUUCUACGUAUAAGGGUUCUUCUUCAGACGCAGAUGCACAUGCUUAAUACCAACAGUAUCUCUCAAACGAUGGCUGUGAACAACCACAUCUCACGACGCAGCUGACUGGUUUACGAGGGCAAACAGAAAGUAGUACUAUAGCGCAGCAGCGGUCUUAGCAUAAAUGUUACCAGAAGGUUCGCUUACUCUAACGGGACUGGGAAAUCUGUCCGGACGGCAUCGUGAUCGACUUGCUCAGAAUACUACGGCUUUAACACUGUAGAAUAGAUAGUCUUAAUGGCGCAGAACUGUGAAGCACCGCGACAAUCCAAAAUGCCCUUGACCGUGGGCAGGCCAGUAUAGUUUCCGUGAGAAUGUGUGAUGUGGCCUGGUUACAAGAAGGGUAAAGAAGGGUAUCUCCUAAGUAGUAUGGUAGCAGCAACGAAAAUUUGGUAAAAACAAAGAUACAGAGGUUGAAUCGGAUAACAGCGAACCGCUACAGUAGGAGCUGAACGGCGGAAAAUACAUUACUACAACAGAAGUAAAUGAUGUAUCUGGAAGACUUUUAAAAUAAAUUGCUAGUUUCUCAAUUUAUAUAUACACUAUAGGUGUCGUUAGAAAAAGAAUAAGGGCAAACACGAAGAGAGCAGAUCUGUUAUGUCCUAGGUAAGGCAGAGCAAAUCCUCGAAAGACGAGAAAACAUUUAACCAUAGCUCUACUAAUUUUUUAGUGAUUCCUCGAUAACUUUUAUGUUGGCAGCACUUGAGAUAAGUGCCCAAACUUAUUUGAAAGCUAGAUUAUAUAGAUGAAUUUACUCGGGUAUUUGCUAGGGAAAAAUUUCAGCAAAUCACUUAUUGACCACUGUUAACAUAACAAAGGCCACUAAUAACCGACCCGGACAUGGUGUUCGUAGACAAUUAAAGGCACAAAGCAAUUCAUGACGUCGAUUAUAGAGUAUGUGCCACAGCCCUGCGAUAGCCUUUCAGUUACCACGGUAAAAUGACGCCCAUUGUUUAUACCUGCACCUAAGGCUGACCUCUUUCCGUAUUGCUAGCUGUCGAGUAGAUCGUAUAUUUGCAUACUCAUAUAAUAACCGAGAAGUGUUCAACGGGCUUUUAGGGUUGAGCGGUUAUUCAUAAGACGGUUGUACAACUGCGGGAUGAACACUACAGCCUGAACAUUUGUCCUUUGACGAGGCGGGGAAGUAGAAGUUGUUAUCUACUGCAAUUGAUCGAUGGUGCUUAUAGUAGGGACCAUAAUUAAACUAGGAAUUCCAAGCAUACUAUUAGUAUUGAACGUACCGCCCCCAUGUCAUUAUUUUACGGUCUUCUUGAUUGUGUCCUUCUAGGCCUUUGGGGAAGCAACGCGCGGUCGCGCUCUUCUCCAAGGCAAUAAUAAAGUAAAAAAUGCCCACAUUAUUUGCCAAAUUAAACUUGCCUUACUUGAGAUCUACUCAAAUUCAACCACCUAUCAGUGGAACUAGUUCUGUGCGUACCUUCAACGAAUAAGUAAAAACAAACUUAGGAUAAGGCCGACGCAUGGUUGCUAAAUCUGCCGUCCUUAACUAGCAAAACAAAUGCAAUUUCUAAAAAUAACUUAGAACUAUUUCAUACGAAAAUUACAUUGAACUAUAGUGUCGAUUCGUAGGAGUACCGUCACAUUACUUUCUAUUUUAAAAUUCCGCAAUAGAGCAGAUCGUUAACCGCUUAAAAGAAUAGAUAAUCUCAGAUUGAUCAAUAACUUCCUUAUUACUGUGCAUAAAGUUAAUCUGUAUGUCGAAAAUAACUAUCGAAACCUGAAAAUUGAUCGAACGAAUGAAAUUUCCUUAUGGAGACUAGAACACAACGGAAAAGGACAUAUAUUUGGUAGCAGGAUAUAAGAAUUUACACGUCUAGGUUCGCUUGGUUUAUCUUAAUAUUUUAUUGAAUAAGAACAAUAUCUCAUAGAGAAGUCGAAAAGUGCAUCAAAGAUAAUAAUGAAAUAACAAUAGUCAAACAUAUUUGCCCCUCUCUGAUUAAAUGAAUCUGCAUCCGGCUCAGCAUGGUAGCUGUAAAAGAAAAUACGUCGUGUUCUUGUAGGUCUUUUAGUAACGAGUGGCAAAUAUGCUCUAUACAUGAUUGCAUUCGAUUGAGUUGAUUUCAGAACGACACCUACUUGAUGUGCCCGAAUUCUCUAACGACACGCUCCCGGACGCAGCACAUGUGCUUGACGAAAUAGCGUGGCCAAGUGGCACGCUCUGACGCCCCUA